CUAGGGCAGCACCUAGUGCAGCCAGCCUUGUGCUGGUAAAACCCAACACAGCUGGGCUACAGCUAAAAGGCCGAAGUGAAAGUGAAGCUUAGCAGAUGCAGAGAGAAAAACAAACCACACCUUGUGAUACCUCUCUCUAAAUCCAGCACAUGGCACCUCCCUGACUUCUUCUUUUAUAGGCUCAAGAGCUCCUGUAUUUUAGAGAAAUUUGAGCCAUACUCCCAUGAUGAUCUGCUACAUGCGGUUUGAAUCUCAUCAGAGGUUGUUGUGAGUAGGUUGGAGCCUUUUCAUUUAGGAGGAGAAAGUACUUUUGAAAAGGGAGAUCAUCACCUGAAGAGCGGAACAGGACACAUUUGCCUUUCAGCUGUGGCCUUCUACCUUCCCUCCAGAAGACUGUAGGUGGGGAUGAGGGAACUGCUUUUUGAGACAACUUGUCUUCAGCUAUUGAGCAUUUGGGCAGUUGCUCUCCUAUGUCUAUGGCUGUUGGUGAGCCACCUCACCAGGACGGGGUGCCACAUGAGGCAGUGACUGGACAGGGAGUCCAUGAAAGCAAAGAAACCAGGGGAACACCUGAGAACACGGGAAUUGCUGACUGAAGCUCACAGGCCAUAUCCUGCCCUGCUGGGUCCUCUGUGGGGCUGCUGUGAGUACCGCUGUGUGUGAGCUGCUGCCCCAUGAAUACUAGCAGGUAGAAUUAGUACAGACAGAAGCCAGUGGCAAAGGCCAAGUGGGCUUUUAAACUCUGGUCUGUCAAGGCUUCCUGAGCUGUGGCAUGGGGUCUGUGAGAGGAGAAAAAUCGACCAGGCUCAGAGUAUUUCACCAUACUCUGAGUAUAUUAUGGUAUAUUGGCACGUUUGUGGAUUUCUUUUUAAA
rnacentral:lncRNA from 1 species